rnacentral:tRNA from 1 species
AGGCUGUUGGUGUAAUGGCAACACGGCAAGUUCCAACCUUGCAGUCGUGGGUUCGAUUCCUGCACGGUCUG